rnacentral:rRNA from 1 species
AACUCUCAACAACGGAUAUCUUGGCUCCCGUAUCGAUGAAGAACGCAGCGAAAUGCGAUACGUAGUGUGAAUUGCAGAAUUCCGUGAACCAUCGAAUCUUUGAACGCAAAUUGCGCCCGAGGCUUCGGCCGAGGGCAUGUCUGCCUCAGCGUCGGCUUACCCCCUCGCCUCCCCUUCACUGGGUGAGUGCGGAUCUGGCCCUCCCGACUCCGACUGAACUUGUUCAGCCAUCCGGGUCGGCUGAAGUGCAGAGGCUUGAGCAUGGACCCCGUUUGCAGGGCAAUGGCUUGGUAGGUAGCUUUGCUACGCAGCCUGCCGUCGCCCGAGGGGCCUUUGCUGGCGGCCCAGCAGGAACCGGGGCGUUAAACCCCCGGCGUCUCACACUUUCGACCUGAGCUCAGGCAAGAUUACCCGCUGAACUUAAGCAUAUCAAUAAGCGGAGGAAAAGAAACUAACUAGGAUGCCCUUAGUAACGGCGAGCGAACCGGGCAAAGCCCAACUUGAAAAUCUCCAGCCUCCGGCUGGCGAAUUGUAGUCUAGAGAAGCGCUCUCUGCGCCAGUCCGGCCCCAAGUCCCCUGGAAAGGGGCGUCAGAGAGGGUGAGAACCCCGUUGGGACCGGAUCCUGGUGCUCCACGAGACGCUUUCGCAGAGUCGGGUUGUUUGGGAAUGCAGCCCAAAGCAGGUGGUAAAUCCCAUCUAAGGCUAAAUACAGACGGGAGACCGAUAGCGAACAAGUACCGUG